rnacentral:rRNA from 1 species
UUUGACAACUCAAUUGUUUUUUGUUUAAUCCACUUAAUUUUCUAAAAACUAAUAAUUCGCCCACUGAAGCUAAGCAGGGCUGCGCCCGGUCAGUACCUGGAUGGGAGACCACAUGGGAAAACUAGGUUGCUGCCGGAA